AUUGAACGCUGGCGGCAGGCUUAACACAUGCAAGUCGAGCGGGGUGAUGGUGCUUGCACUAUCACUUAGCGGCGGACGGGUGAGUAAUGCUUAGGAAUCUGCCUGUUAGUGGGGGACAACAUCUCGCAAGGGAUGAUCAUACCGCAUACGUCCUACGGGAGAAAGCAGGGGCUCACUUGUGACCUUGCGCUAAUAGAUGAGCUUAAGUCGGAUUGGCUAGGUGGUGGGGUAAAGGCCUACCAGGGCGACGAUCUGUAGCGGGUCUGAGAGGAUUAACAGCCAAAAUAGGGAUGAGACACGGACCAAACACCUACGGGUGGAAACAGUGGUGAAUAUUGGACAAUUAGGGGAACCCUGUUCGAGCCAUGACACGUGUGUGAAGAAAGCCUUAUAGUUGUAAAGCACUUUAAGCGAGGAGGAAGCUAUUUUUGUUAAUACCCAAGAUGAGUGGACGUUACACGAAGAAUAAGCACCGGCUAACUCUGUGCCAGCAGCAGCCGCGA
rnacentral:rRNA from 1 species